rnacentral:rRNA from 1 species
AGCUCCAAUAGCGUAUAUUAAAGUUGUUGUGGUUAAAAAGCUCGUAGUUGGAUCUCAACAGCCUUGAAGCGGUUAACUUUGUAGUUUUACUGCUUUAUAGGCUGUGCUUUUGCUGGAGGUUUAGGGGUGCUCUUGAUCGAGUGUCUCUGGAUGCCAGCAGGUUUACUUUGAAAAAAUUAGAGUGCUCAAAGCAGGCUAAAAUGCCUGAAUAUUCGUGCAUGGAAUAAUAGAAUAGGAUGUCGAUCCUAUUUUGUUGGUUUUCGGGACUCGACAUAAUGAUAAAUAGGGACAGUCGGGGGCAUUUGUAUUCAAACGACAGAGGUGAAAUUCUUGGACCGUUUGAAGACAAACUACUGCGAAAGCAUUUGCCAAGAAUGUUUUCAUCA